CGGCCAGUUCGGGGACGGCGGCACGCCCGUCCUUCGCGAGGACGUCCAGCAACCGCUGAUCGGCCGCGGUCGGUUCCAUCCGGACGCCGCCCGU
rnacentral:tRNA from 1 species